GGUGGCAUUGAGAGUUCUGGGAGUCAUUUUGGAAUGUUUGAGGCAUUUGGCUCUGUAGCAUGGUUUAGGUGAGGAGUCUUCCCUGAGUGACCUUGGAAUUUUUGUACUAUUAUACCAGAAGAAAUGAUGGAGAUGGUUCCAGAGAAACCUGGGAAGACUUAUAUAAACUGAUGCACAGUAAAGACGUCAGUUAUGCCAGCUACAUCUUUACCUGAUUUUGGGAAAGUGACCAAGAGGAUGUCUGUAUCUUGGAACUGAAAGUUGGUAGCAAUUCUCAGGCUCUCUUGAGUGCAUAAGUAUCCUGGCAGAGAGAUGUCCUCAAUAACUUCAGUAACCUUAAUCCUGAAAGCCCAGAAUAAAUGU